GAGCUGUUGGCAUAUGCAGGAUUUUUCCCCUAAAUGUUGUCGUUUUCUCCCUGGGCAAACCUCAGCGCCAUCGUCCCCUCUUCUCCACCAAGUACGCCUUCUCUUCUUGACACGGAGCGAAGCUGACCCUCGUAAAGGUUAGACGUCGGAUGUCCGAGGGGCUGAUCCCUUCUGAAGGCUCUGGGGGAGAGCUGAGUUCCUGGCCUUCUCCGGCUUCUAGAGGCUGCUGUGUUCCCCGGCUCUGGGUGCCUCCCUGCAUCUCUAAAGCCUGUGAGGGGCAGCCAGGUAUCUUUUCACGUGGUGUCACCGAGGCGUUGAAUUUGCCCUCUUUUCUCCAGAGGACCCCUGAGGGCACACGGAGCCCAGGCGCAUCUUAAGAUGAGCCCUUGCCGCAUCUUAAGAUCCUGAACUAUGCACGUGGACAGCGUCCCUUCUGCCAGGAUAACACCAAGUAUGGUUCUCAGAAUAAAGCAUUUCUCCAGAGGGGCGAGAACCUCCGUGAAAGCAAAACAAAACCCUCCUCCUUUUCCACGCAAGAGAGAGGAAAAGAGACUCAGUGGAGUGUGUGGAGAAACCACGCCGAGAGAAUUCUGUACCAAGUCCACGUGCGUGCCGGUGGUCAAGAGUCCGAAUUUCCAGAAGGGUGUGGUCGUCAAGAAGUCGUCUGAGAAGCCGUCCAGACAGCGGAAGGAGAGCGUUGCACACGCCGUGGGGAUGGCCCCUUUCUCGGAAGGAGACGUGGGGAGAGGCGAGGGGGGCCCGGAGGUGGCACGUGCUCCCUGCUUCACAUCUUGAGCCACGAGAUGAAACACGGCCGGGUCCGCUGUCGGCAGGACCACGAGGCAGUGGCCCGCUCCCAGGGUGGCCCGCUCCCCGUCCGGGUCGCAAAGACAGUGACAGGAGGUCUUUCUGUCUGUUUUUCCUUCUGCGAAACGACGGCCAGGAGCUACGGGAAGCACAUGGCAGAGCAUCCUUGUCAAAGCCCGAAACGCCCACAGGGAACAAGAAAAAGAAGGAAAGAAACGUGCUUCUCGGCCUGGUUCAUUCAUCGUCACAAACAGACACAGCGUCUGCCUGAGGCCGAGUAUUUGCCGCCGAGUUAAAAACACACGUCCUUGGAUGGGCCACGUCAGCACCGAGGUCUUCCUGCCGCUUGAGGGCAUCUCACGCUGUGGCCAAGCUGGAGAAAAACACCUCCCGAAGCGCGCUGGCGCCUCCCUGACUCGGGACGUGCUGGUUAGCGAAGGUUUCCUGGGCAGAUCCCAGGUCAUGCUGCCGUUCAGAGAGGAAGAGCUGGGCUCACCCCGGUUUUUAGCCGCCCGGAGUUGACAGUCUCAUAGGAGAGACCAGCGAAUUCUCUAAGGGGACCACGGGGAGAGGCUUCCCUUUGCCUGUGAAAUGAAACCCAUCUUCCCACGUGGGCCUGGGUCUGCCCACCUGCUCCUUUGGGUCAGCGGCAGAGCCCGUCCCCCUGGAAUCUCUCUCAGCCUCUACCCGCCCUUAUCAAUGGAUCCCCCUCUUGGGGUGUCAGCUCGAAGGUAACUUUCUCAGGGAGGAUGGGCCCGACCCUGGAAAUCAAGGCGGACACCCGCGCCCAUCCUCCCCCACGCUUCCCACUCAGAGCACUGGUUUUGUAGCUGCUUCACUGUAGGGUCUGCAGCCCCUUGCAUCGUGAUCAGCUCCAGGAGCCAGGAAGGGAAUCUGUUCUAGCACCAUCCUCAUUCCUGGUCCAUCCUAGACGCUCAACAACCAGGCUUCGAUUCAUAAGGAAAUAAAUGCAGUUAAGCAAUCUGUGUGGUGAAAUUAACUGCACAAGGUCAUAAUUCCAUGCCAGCGUCAAGACUGUCAUUUUUGACAAGCACAGAUGGGGAAACUGAGGCUGAGAGAGGUCCAAGGACUUCUGGGUGAUGGUUUACUGAAUAACUGGGUUCUGGGUUAUGCUCUUUCCAUAGCUCCAUAAACAGGUCAGUGACUUAGCGCAGAAUAUCCGGGUACCCGAGACAGGGAGGAGAGACAGUCUGAGAGGCAGGGAGGCCAAGUCAGGGGGAACCAGGCCUGCAUCCAGGUCCUCCUGGAGCAGGACUGGAGAAGAAAGGGAUGGAGUUUUAAAGGGCAGGCUCCGCUGCUGCUCGGAGACCUUCCAAGGUGCCUUGGGCUUCUUCUCUCACCUGUAAGAUGGAUAUGUUGAGAGCGACCAUGAGGGCGGGAUGCUGGGGACAAGCGAGGAAGGCCGCACACUUGGAUCUGAAGUUGGGACCACCCCCAGGGCCACGCGUGGCAUCGUCAGGGUGGACAGGACCCCUGUGGCGUGUCUGUAGUGACCCUCUGAGUUUUCUACGAUAGGACUCAGUACACCCAGGCUCUACCCACCCACGGGGGCAAGGACAAGGGGCACGACUUCAAAUGCCAGGCACGCCCCCUCCCAAGUGUGGUCCCUCCCACGCCCGGGGCCUUCUUUUCAGUUUUCUUGGGAAGCAGUUGACAUUCAUCACAGUAAAGUUUAAGGCCUCCAGCAGCCUCGUGCCUCGCAAAUGUGCAAUGAUGACCACGUGGACUCUGCUAGCAUCCAUCCCUCACAGAGACACAGUGAAAAAAAGGGGAAAAUCCUCCCCAGGAUGAGAACUCUUAGGAUUGAAUCUCCUGACAACGUUCUGCCCGGGAAUUUUUAUUGUAUUAUUUCUGAUUCCAGAUUUACCUCCGGAAACUAAAGUGGCUAAAGACAAGGAGAUUGUCCAUUAUUUGUGCAAGACAAAAUCGCCCUGGGUUCCAAAAUACAGAACCAGGAAUUUCCUGGUGGCCUGGUGGUUAAGGAUCCAGCAUUGUCACUGCGGUGGCUCUGUUCAGUCCCUGGCCUGGGAACUUCUGCAUGCCCAGGGUACGGCCAAAUAAAUAAAUAAGUAAAUAAAUAUAAAAUACUCGAUGCAAACUAUGACAUUUAGACUGGAUACGCAAUGACAUCCUACCGUACAGCACAGGGCUCUAUAUCCAGUCUCUUGGGAUAAACCAUGAUGAAAGAUUAAAAUAAGUCAAAAAAGUAAAAUAAAGAACCUUUGACUGAAGAAGGAGGGGCAUUUGGUAAAGACCAGUUCCUUGGUUGCUUCUAUAAAAACUACUUUUUUGUCUCUAAAAUGGGAACAAGUGUUUCGUGCAAAAUUAUUCGGCUCUCUGGUCAUUGUCACAACUUUAACCCCACGUCAAAGAAGUUGUUGACUAACCGGGUGAGAAAUUGCACAUUUCCUACUGCUUCCGGCUCGCCCACCUGGAAUGUCAUCCUUUCUCUUUGUUGAGACGAAACCAUCUUUCGAAUUCUAAUUCAAGCCUUGCCUCCCAUGCAAGGGUCUUCCCACAAACACCAGGUCCAUGUCCUCCAGCCAACUCAUCUCUAAGCCGUGGCAUCAUGAAGGACCGGGUUUGCCGAGUAAGCGCUGCUCCUGUCUAGACCGCGAGCCCCCUGAGGAUGCUGGACUCUCAAGCUGACCUUCCUACCCUUCAUCCUGGAGCAGCGGGACCCAAGGCGGUGGCUCCUCUGCCGGGUGCAGCUGUUUGCGAGGGUGGCAACCUCACCAGGGGUCCUUCGAGUGAAGACGAACAAGAAAGAAUUCUGUCCCCAGAGGCCACCCCCGAAGUCCUGCAAGCGUCUACUUCAUAAAUAUGGUCGAAAGGAAAAUCCGUCUUGAAAUGACCAGUAUUGGAAAAUAGCGCAUUUCAAGGGCUGUGCUUGGCGGCGUGUCCGCACCUGGACCUCCCCUCCCAUCGAGUCUCCCUGAAAGGGGCGGUGGGGAGGUGCCUGGUGUUGGGAUGCCCCUGCCCUGCUCCCCGAGGUGGGGGCAACACGUUUGAGAAACACACAGCCCUUCCUCGAGGCCGGAUGUCUCAGCACCUGCUUCUUGAUGGAGGCGAAGCAGGUGCCCCCCCCCCAGGGACCCCGCGUUCCCGCAGCUGUCUGUUCUAUAGGUCACGGGGUGCCUGACUUCUGCCCCACGUCACACUGGGUUAUAAUGGUGCCUCUCUCUCCCUCCCACCUUUCCAUUCCCCCCCCCCCCCCCCCCCCUCUCCCNNNNNNCCCCCCCCCCCCCCCCCCGGCCCCGUGAGCUCUCUGAUGGGAGGAAUCACGACGGAUGCAUUUUCCAUGUCCCCUGUUCCAAGGUCACGACAAAGGCUGUUCCAUCCACGCAACCAGAGCCCCUCCAGGACCACACGUGGGCAAAUCGGAAACCCACCCCUGGAUUUUUCUGCUGAAGCUCUCAGUAAAGACUCUCCCUUCCAUGAGCGUCACUGAGCUAGUGGUGAGUUGGACAUGAUUAGCGAUCCUCCAGUCUGCCCACCAUCUGUCUCUCUGUCCCUCCUGGGCGCCAGCAGCUCGUGCAGACGCUAAACGGCCUCUUGACUGGACAGUCUGCUUGCUUGCUUGGGUCUUCCUCGUCUGUUUUCUAUCCAGCCGUCAAAAUCCAGCUCCUAACGUGCAAAUAUGAUCAUUUCAUGCUUCUGCUUAAACACCUUUCGGUGACCUGGGCUAAAGUAGCAGCUCCUCCAGAAGGUCUGUAGGAUGCGUCACAGCCCUGUCCUCGCCCACCUCCGGCCUCCUCGUACCCUCCACGACUGACCGUUCCUUCUUGCUCCAGCCAUGCCAGCUGCCGGCCGAUCCUAGAGGACAGCCUGUGUCCCUCAGAGACAGAAGCUCCUCGCCCGGCCUGUGGGCUCUCGGCUGCGUGUCCCCGUUUGAACACUUCUGUCCCGUCGCCUUGCAGCCUAAGUUUCCUGUGGAUGCGUCUGGCUGAGGCAGGCAGUCCUGCUCAGCUCACACCGCACGGACAACCCCAAGCCCAAGCCCAGGCGCCCCGGCGGUGGCCACGGGUGACUCUAGUGGGACACGGGAGCACUCAUGUCACUGUUCAGGCAGGAAAGGCCAUUCCACUCUGCAAUUAUCCAGGGACGCCAGGGGACAUUGGGACUUGGAGGCAGAGGCAGGGGGCAGCCCAGCCUCAGGGGGCAGGAGAAGUGUUCUUGGAUCUGGGUCCACGAGAAGUGUCCGUGCAGGGGUGGGGUGGCCGUUGGACAGCAGGGGGUGUGGACGUGAGACGGAGGGCAGACGAAAGGACAGGGGAGUCGAAGGAAGAGACGAGGGGAAACCACGUGGGGGCUCAGAAGCGUGUUUAGGACUUUCACGAGUGGCGGUCCCCAAGCUCGGGCCAGGGGUCAAAUCCCACAGGCAGGGGCCCAGCCGCGGCGGUGACACACGGCAGGCCCCGAGGGAAGGUUAGGGACAGCGUGGACAGCAGGACAGAGGGGACCGCCCUGGAGAGAGGCGCGUUCCCAGCUGGGCAGGAACAGGGGCAGCAAUGGGAUGGAGGCAGAAACCACCGGGGAGAAGAGAAAACAACCAGUCCACCAGCUCGUUUAUCCGCGGAUUCGGGGAGCGGGCCGCCUGUGGAGCGCUAUCAGGAUGUGGGGGGAACGGCUGAGAAAUGGGGAAACAUUUGGUCUCUGUGUCGCCACAGUGCAGGCUCCGCCUGGCAAGAAUCCAUCCUUGUUCCUGGUUCGGGGUGUGUGUGUGUGUGUGUGUGUGUGUGUGUGUGUGUGUGUGUGUGUGUGUGAGGCAAAUUCUCAAGGGCCGCCUCCACGUAAGACAAACCCCACGACACGGUCCCGCCGUGCAGCCUGGGAGAUUAUAUCCAAUAUCUUGUAAUAAUGGGAAGGAAUCUGAAGACAAGCGUGUGUGUAGGUACAACUGCGUCACUUCGCUGGGCACCUGAAAGGGACAACACAUGGUAAAUUAACUAUACUUCAAUUUAAAAAAAAAAAAAGACCCCACCAUGUACCUGAAAGCUUCCAAAAGAGUUUUUAAAACAUGCUUUUUUUUAAGAAAAACAAGGAUUAUAUGUGUGUGUUGUAACCAGGGCUUUGUGUGAAAAAUCUCCCCAGUUUCCACCGCUCCCCACCCAAAACGGGAAAAGUUAUUAUUUGGUGGAAAGGCUGGGUCAUCUUCAAGUACAAGGAUGUUGCUUGAAAGCCUUGAUGCAAAAAAACCUGAAACGAGCCGGUCACACUCACAACUGCCGUCCCUAAGCUGAGAGAUUUUUCUUUCGUAAGAUAUGUGAGUUGCACCUCAGGAAAAAUAAAUAUAUACGAGUUCCUGUUGUGGCUCAGUGGCUUAAGAACCCAACAGUCUCCACGAGGAUGCAGGUUGGAUCCCCGGCCUCGCUCAGUGGGUUAAGGAUCUACUAUUGCUGUGGUUGUGGUGUAGGCUGGCAGCUGCAGCUCCGAUUUGACUGCUAGCCUGGGAACUUCCAUAUGCUGCCAGUGCAGCCCUUAAAAAGAAAAACAAAAUUUAAAUAUAGAUAUUACAUACAUAUAUAAAUAUUAAAUACAUGCAUUUUAAAUAUGUAUAUAAUAUAUAUCCCCUACCAGAGUAAAUUGUCAGAGAAAAAUCCAGAAAUCUAUGUUAAGCAAACAUGUAGGUUCAGUUGGAUCAGAUCGUAGGAAUUGUCACUAAAACUGCAUCUGAGGGUCGUUUUAAACACCACCCUCUGUGUGCACAGAACAGACCUCAGGGUGGCAGAUUCAUAUGUACGUUUCUGGACCUUUGACCUAAGGUUUUUAAAGAACUUUGUAAGUUUAUAUUGCAUGUGUAGGGUUUUAAAGCAGCGGCUAUGACUGCUUUUGACUUCAAACCCUUUUUACCAGCUCUAUAAACAGAGGGUAGUGAUGUUUUCAAAA
rnacentral:lncRNA from 1 species